rnacentral:rRNA from 1 species
UACGUAGGGGGCAAGCGUUGUCCGGAAUCAUUGGGCGUAAAGAGCGCGUAGGCGGCCCUGUAAGUCCGCUGUGAAAGUCAAGGGCUCAACCCUUGGAUGCCGGUGGAUACUGCAGGGCUAGAGUCCGGAAGAGGCGAGUGGAAUUCCUGGUGUAGCGGUGAAAUGCGCAGAUAUCAGGAGGAACACCGAUGGCGAAGGCAGCUCGCUGGGACGGUACUGACGCUGAGGCACGAAGGCCAGGGGAGCAAACGGG